rnacentral:rRNA from 1 species
UACGUAGGGCGCGAGCGUUGUCCGGAAUUAUUGGGCGUAAAGAGCUCGUAGGCGGCUUGUCACGUCGGAUGUGAAAGACCGGGGCUUAACUCCGGUUCUGCAUUCGAUACGGGCUAGCUAGAGUGUGGUAGGGGGAGAUCGGAAUUCCUGGUGUAGCGGUGAAAUGCGCAGAUAUCAGGAGGAACACCGGUGGCGAAGGCGGUGCUCUGGGCCAGUACUGACGCUGAGGAGCGAAAAGCGUGGGGGAGCGAACAGG